UGGGGAAUAUUGGACAAUGGGCGCAAGCCUGAUCCAGCCAUGCCGCGUGUGUGAAGAAGGCCUUCGGGUUGUAAAGCACUUUAAGCGAGGAGGAAGGGUUUCCGGCUAAUACCUGGGAACAUUGACGUUACUCGCAGAAUAAGCACCGGCUAACUCUGUGCCAGCAGCCGCGGUAAUACAGAGGGUGCAAGCGUUAAUCGGAAUUACUGGGCGUAAAGCGCGCGUAGGCGGUUGUGCAAGUUGGAGGUGAAAUCCCCGGGCUUAACCUGGCACUGCCUUCAAAACUGCACGGCUAGAGUAUGGGAGAGGAAGGUAGAAUUCCAGGUGUAGCGGUGAAAGUGCGUAGAGAUCUGGAGGAAUACCGAUGGCGAAGGCAGCCCCUGGCUAAGAUUGACGCUCAUGCACGAAAGCGUGGGGAGCAAACA
rnacentral:rRNA from 1 species